CAACCCUGUUGUUUGCAAAGAAUGGAUACAUCACACCACUGCUCACAGCUGGAGAAGCCAUAAUAUUCUCUCUUGGUCCUUAAUGAUCUUAUUCCUACACAGGUCAAGCAGGGCUUGACCAACAUUCCUGGUAGAAAUUUUGCUAGCAGUGGCUCUGAUGAAAAUCCCUUUGUGGGAAGAUGCCUAGGAGCUCAAACGUCACCACACCAAUACAGAGUGAGUCAUCAGCCAUCUUAGCUCAGGUUCCCUGUGCCGCUGCCACCACUCCCCCCGCCUUGUUUUAUUUAUUUUUCUCUCCUGUCCUUUUUUUAAACCAUAAACGCAGUGAUGUUACUGAAACUGUACCCCUCCUAGCAGCAGCAUCAGGAGAGUGCCCUCUUCGGUGCCCCAGGGGUAUGACACAUUAACAAGGGCAGAUAUCCUAAUGGGGUUUAGCGUAUCCAAGAGGCGAUUGUGGCUUAUCAUCAGUGGACAUAACAACAAGAUACUGGCAGGACCAAGUAUCCAUCUGCAGAAAAAGAGAUUGGAAGCAUUCCAGGAUUUCAAGCUGUUAUUUAAGUUCAGAGUGACACGAGCUGAAUCUCCAGAACAGCAAGCCAUGUGGAGGCAACCUGACUGGCCUUCGGACCCGCAGCAGACCAAAUACGCUCGAACUUUGCAACGAAGCACCUUCCUCCGAGGGGGCUGCAGACAGAACGGCGUGGCCGUUCCAUUAUCUUCCAUUUCUUAAGAUUCAGAAAGAUGGA
rnacentral:lncRNA from 1 species